GAACCCGCGCUCCCCCUCCAUCUUCCUCCACCCGUCCGCGCUGCGCAUCUCGUCGUGCCGCCGCGCCGCGCCGCCUCCAAGCUCCACGACGCAUCGCCGCCGCGCAGCUCCUCGUACCACCGCGUCGCCACCGUCUCUAUCGCCCCACUGACAGCCGGCCGCCUUCUCCCGCUCGUCUCGCCUCUUCUCAUCUUCCUCAUCAGGAGCUCAAGAUGGAAGGAGUCUCCUUUUCUUCAAAGCUCGCGAUUUGCCAGCUCCGGUGGCGGCACUGCCCCGUGCAUACUCCGGCUCUGGCUCCGGCGAGGCUCCGAUCCACCCCUGAUCCGGUCUAAAUCAACCGGAGACAGAGACGAAGACGAAGGCCGAGGAGGUGGUGGUCAGGGAUACCGAGACGGCUGCUGUGGUGCAGGAACCGAAGGCAAAGAUAGAUGCAGGAAUUAGUUCUGUGGGAUUUUGGAAGUCUUUGGUGGUUGCAAAAUGGUGGAAUUGCUGUGAAGUCUUUGGUGAUUUUAGAAGUCACGGCGGCUGUGACCCCUCCCCCAAUUGGCAAAGAUAGAUGCAGGAAUUGGUUCUCAGGACAUCGGGCAAAUGUGAUUCAGAGAGAUAGAUGCAGGUGAGUUGGUUCUGUGCUUAGUUAUGAUUGUGUUUGAUAAUGCCUCGUUCGGUGAGAGUGCCAUUCAGUCAAUUGUUUGUAUGAAUUCUGUGCAAAUUGUGUGACUGUGAGUGAACAGGAGUAUAAAAGUGGAACACCGUCAGGCCAGAAGAUAGGUGACAGGAAGGGGGCUGUCCAUGCACACCCAGCCAAGAAGGCAGGCAAGACCCCAGCAACCAGCAAGAAGUGGCCCAAGUCUGGAGGGUCGGUCACCUCCUACUACGUGGAGAUGAGCAUUUUGUUCAGUUAACUGUUUUCCAGAGUCAGUGCGAGCGGAGACGAAGCUAGUAGAAUCAUAUGGGGCUCCCAAGCAAAGUCAAAUCAGUCUUGUUUGGAGUCUGGUUUAUGUCAUUCUCCCAUGUUUAUACCUGUGGUCGAACCUUCUGCAGAAUUUGCAUAUUGUUCCAUUGCCCCCUACCGGAGGACUCUUCUCAAUCUCAUAUCAAACCAGGAUUUUUUAUCAAUGGAUCUUGAUAACUAAUGCAUUGCAACUUACAAGAUUUAAGCGCAGGGAAUUCUGAAACAUGGGUUUAUCUGGAUUUAUCUGGAUUUGUAGCAUGAAUGAUGUUCCAUGAAAGACACAAUUUGUUCCAUGAAUGAUGUAGGUGCUGAUGAAUGGGCCUUUCCCCAGCAACAAUAGGUGGAGGGGGGCAGAAACAAUGGUAGAGACCACCCCUUCACGUGCAAGCUCCCCAAGGAGAUUUAGGUGGAGAUGAAGGAGGGAAUCAGCAACAAAACAAAGAGCAGAUGACACACCUGAUGUCAAUGAUCAACACCAUGGAAUGUUGAACAAUGUAGGCAUAGUGUUUGUGGAGUCAGGAGAUGUCACCAAGCAAGAGCUGUCAAUUUGACAUAUUGACAGACUUAGGUACAAUUUGUAGCAUCUUGUAGAUAGUCCUAGAUUUAGGUGCAAGAAUUCUGGGCCUGGUAUGGUGUAAUGACUCUUUGUAAUGCACUUAUGGUAUAAUGAUAUUGUUUCUCUCAA